CUCCGCCAGUGGGUACCGCCUGGCCUGGGUCAGCCACGACAUCACAGUGUCUGUGGCCGACUCCUCCAAGAGCGUUCAGAGGAGAACCAUGUGUGAUGUGCGUUCCCCCUGCGCAGGGUGUCGACUCUGAAGACGGAGUUUAUGCCACUGCUCAGUUUGUCCUCAGAGAAUAGCAUCGUGGCCGAGCCAGGUGUCCAUUUACAAGGUGGACAAGCAGGACUGUCACAAAUUCUGCACCACUAGCAUGGACGGGGCCAUAACGAU